rnacentral:rRNA from 1 species
UUGCAGGCUGCAACCCGCCUCGCAUGAAGUCGGAAUUGCUAGUAAUCGCGGAUCAGCAUGCCGCGGUGAAUACGUUCCCGGGCCUUGUACACACCGCCCGUCACACCAUGGGAGCCGGUAAUACCCGAAGUCAGUAGUCCAACCUCGUGAGGACACUGCCGAAGGUAGGAUUGGCGACUGGGGUGAAGUCGUAACAAGGUAAC